CUUUAUAUCCACAAGUACACUAAUAUUGAGAUCGUGCUUAUUUGUAUUAAUGUGAAGUGUUUGCGUCGAUUCAUUUCCGCCUCUUCCACUCUACAAAUACUAUAAGUUGCUUGUAUCCGUUAAGUAAACUACUUAACUUCAUAGAAUUAAAUACCGUUUUCACCGUCAUUUACAAAUUUUGAGAAGAGUUAAAUAAUAAUAUGUGUUACUGAAAAUUAGCGCAUAGUUCAUUGUUUAAACAUACCGCAUGUUUAAAAUACAGUACAAAUACAAUUAAAAGUCUGAACAAUGGUUUUUAAGAUUUUAUCAAAGUUUUACAUAUUAAGUACAUUAACAAUAAAAUAUUAUGUGCCCAUGUUAUGUGGAUACACUAAAUGGCUCAACUAUACAAUAACGACACUUGAGUUGAGAGUUCAAAUUAAUAUGGUGAAUAGAUUACAUAGUUAGUAGUCUAAGUCUAAUCCUAAAAUAUUUUUUAAUUUUUAGGUAUAUGCAGUGACCAUAGUUACUCGAGGAAGCGCCACAUUGAUCACUCUUAUGCACUACUGUAUGAUGAGUAAAACAAACCUAAUAAAGUUGCACGAACAGAGGUUUCUUAUGCAAACGUCUUGCCUUUAACUCCAGUUUCUGUCUGAAUAAACACUUUCUGUUUGUUGAUAGACGGUACUAUAAGUUAUGAAGAAAAAUCCUAUGUGUUUCAAACACCUAAGUGCUGUAAAAUAAGUUUCUCCAAAAAAAUAUUCAUUUUUGCCUUCAAAAACAACUUUGAAGAAUAUGAUAAGUCAACUACUGUAAAAAACUGGGACAGC